UUUCUCCAGCAUCCCACAGCAUCCGUCCUUCCCAGCUCUGCAGGCUCAGGAGGAUCAUCCAGUGCAACCUUUCUCCCAGGCUUAGGAAACGCGUGGAUCUGACCGUGGGGACAAACAGGGUUGAGCCUGAAGAAAGAAAAUCAAACGGGGCCUGUAGCAGAGCGGCAGAGCCUGACCGCUCAUCUCUGUAAUGCGGAGAAGGAGGAUGGUUUUGAGCCUGAGAGGAUGUAGGAUGAUGCUACUUGAUAAGGUUCCUGUUGUGGGUACUUCCCACUUGAAAUCCUGUCCCUUCGUGUGAGAGCAUCAUAUGAGGAACCUCAGUCCUGCUUUACGGAGCUGUUUACUUGCAGAACAUGCUGACUGGUGCCUGAGGGAAU